UGACACAGCAAUACGUAACUAAUUCCCAAGCCCUCAGGUGAUUCUGAUGCAGGCUAAAGUUUGAGAACCACUGUUUUCAUACCAGGAAUGAUCAGUCACCAACUGAAUCAGAAUUUCUCACUCUUCCCCUUGCCUUUCAGUAAGGAUCGGGUCUCUUACCGCUCAUCCUCUAACCUGCUCUCUCUCUACAGCCACCAGCUCAGCUUUCACGUGAGACUUCCAGGGAAGUUUCAGAGGAGGGAACUGUGGGGGCCCAGGACAGUCUGCCUCAAGAUAUUCCACAAUGGCAUGUUGACUAUUUGAGUUAAAGUUACUUAAAAAGCCAAAAGGGGCUUUCUGAGCCUCCUGUCUCUGUUCCUCUGAAAGCAGGAAUGAAUCUCCCAUAUGAGAGGUGCCCUGCCUGCAUCCUUAUCACCAGAGCUGGGGGGCUGAGGGCCAAGAAGCUGCAUAGACAAACCUUGAUAACUCACUAACUCAAGUCUAAAUUCCUCACUAAUUACAUGCCUCAAACCUAAGUUUCCUUGUCCUGUCAAUUUUUCACAAAUUUAUGUUUCUUUGUGUAAAAGAUACAUAUACCGCCUGUUUUGUUCACUCUCCAAGCACAACUUCAUGAUUUUCCUGUGUGCACG
rnacentral:lncRNA from 1 species